GACGAACGCUGGCGGCGUGCCUAACACAUGCAAGUCGAACGGAGAGAUACGAGCGCUUGCUCUUGUAAAUCUUAGUGGCAAACGGGUGAGUAACGCGUAAACAACCUGCCCAACGGAUGGGGACAACAGACGGAAACGACUGCUAAUACCCAAUAGACUCCGGUUUCGCAUGAAACCGACAGGAAAGGUGGCCUCUCGAAGAAGCUACCGCCGCAGGAGGGGUUUGCGUUUGAUUAGUUAGUUGGUGGGGUAACGGCCUACCAAGACGAGGAUCAAUAGCCGGUAUGAGAGGAUGGACGGCCACACUGGAACGGAGACACGGUCCAGACUCAUACAGGAGGCAGCAGUGGGGAAUCUUCCGCAAUGGACGAAAGUCUGACGGAGCAACGCCGCGUGAGGGAAGAAGGCCGUCGGGUUGUAAAGCUCUGUUAUUCGGGAAGAAAGAUUCGUUUGUUAAUAAUGAACGGAAGUGACGGUACCGAAAGAGAAAGCCACGGCUAACUACGUG
rnacentral:rRNA from 1 species